GUCUACAGUCAUACCACCCUGAACGUGCUCAUCGUGUCUGAUCUCAGGAGCUAAGCAAGGUUGGGCCUGGUUAGUACCUGGAUGGGAGAAUAUGACAUGGCUAGGCCAUGACCUGAGGACC
rnacentral:rRNA from 1 species